CUUGUUUGAAUACUUAAACUCUUAGGCAACAAAUAGUCAAGACUCCUGACCUUUAGAGUCUCAAGGGAGAUGAUGCUGACCAACUUUUCUGUCUAGACUGUGAACACCUCCAAGGCAAGUUACGCCCAACGUGAGUCCUUUAAUGAGUCAGUCAAAUUCCCAGGUCGAUACUACCAAUGUUCUCACAUGUGGUAUUGUUCUUCCAUUCUUCCUAGUGUUUUUCCAAGGCCUGGUUAUGAAGAGGUGGGAAAAAUGGUGUCUGUGUCAUUACUCUUGGUUGGCACGAGAAGCUCAGUCAGUGGGAGAAUAAGAUCAGAAAGAGGAGGGAGCUUCUCUGAACCAGCCCUAUCUCUUCUUGUCCCUUCAGCAUUCAGAUUUGAACAGGAAAUGCUCAUCAAGGGAGAGAGUUUGCAGCAAGGCUGUGUUUUUAAUGUUCCCCGAGCACAUCUCCAAGACUGCAAAUGUAACUGGAAAUACUGA
rnacentral:lncRNA from 1 species